rnacentral:rRNA from 1 species
AGCGAACGCUGGCGGCAGGCCUAACACAUGCAAGUCGAACGAACCUUUCGGGGUUAGUGGCGGACGGGUGAGUAACACGUGGGAACGUGCCUUUAGGUUCGGAAUAACUCAGGGAAACGUGUGCUAAUACCGAAUGUGCCCUUCGGGGGAAAGAUUAAUCGCCUUUAGAGCGGCCCGCUUCUGAUUAGCUAGUUGGUUGAGGUAAUGGCUCACCAAGGCGACGAUCAGUAGCUGGUCUGAGAGGAUGAUCACCCACAUUGGGACUGAGACACGGCCCAAACUCCUACGGGAGGCAGCAGUGGGGAAUCUUGCGCAAUGGGCGAAAGCCUGACGCAGCCAUGCCGCGUGAAUGAUGAAGGUCUUAGGAUUGUAAAAUUCUUUCACCGGGGACGAUAAUGACGGUACCCGGAGAAGAAGCCCCGGCUAACUUCGUG